rnacentral:rRNA from 1 species
GACGAACGCUGGCGGCGUGCUUAACACAUGCAAGUCGUACGGUAAGGCCCUUUCGGGGGUACACGAGUGGCGAACGGGUGGGUAACACGUGCGUAACCUGCCCACAACUUAGGGAUAACGAUAGGAAACUGGUGCUAAUAAUGGAUAUGUACUCCUGCUGCAUGGCGGGGGUUGGAAAGCUCCGGCGGUUGUGGAUGGAUUCGCGGCCUAGCAGCUUGUUGGUGGGGUAGUGGACUACCAAGGCGGCGACGGGUAGCCGGCCGGAGAGGGUGACCGGCCACAGUGGGACUGAGACAGGGCCCAGACUCCUACGGGAGCCAGAAGUAGGGAAGAGUGAUAAAUGGGCGCAAGCCGGAUGCAGAUGCGCCGCGGGCGGGAGGACGGACUUCGGGUUGGAAUCCGCUUUCAGCAGGAACGAAGCUUUUUGUGACGGUACCUGCAGAAGAAGCACCGGCUAACUACGUG